CCUACGGGUGGCAGCAGUAAGGGAUAUUGGUCAAUGGGGGAAACCCUGAACCAGCAACGCCGCGUGAGGGAAGACGGUUUUCGGAUUGUAAACCUCUGUCCUCUGUGAAGAUGAUGACGGUAGCAGAGGAGGAAGCUACGGCUAACUACGUGUCAGCAGCCGCGGUAAUACGUAGGGAGGGAGCGGUGUCAGGAUUUACUGGGGGGAAAGGGUGCGUAGGCGGCUUGGCAAGUGAGUAGGGAAAGUCAUGGGCGUAACCCAUGAACUGCUAUUGAAACUGUCGAGCUUGAGUGAAGUAGAGGUAGGCGGAAUGCCCGGUGUAGCGGUGAAAUGCGUAGAGAUCGGGAGGAACACCAGUGGCGAAGGCGGCCUACUGGGCUUUAACUGACGCUGAGGCACGAAAGCGUGGGUAGCAAACAGGAUUAGAUACCCGGGUAGUC
rnacentral:rRNA from 1 species